rnacentral:lncRNA from 1 species
AUGGAGAAAGAAGUCACACAGCAAACAAAACGUCCUCACAUCCCAAACUCAAAGUACCGUGAUCAGGGGCAGACUGAGAAGGCUUCAAAGAAAAGGGUUGACAAUAAAAAGAGAUGUCCUUCUAAAUACAACCACGAGGAGGAGGAGGAGAAGGAGGAGGAGGAGGAUGAGGCGCGUCAUGACAGGCCUUCAAAGAACAAGCGGGCCAGCGAAGAGGAGGAGCGUAUUGGGGAUGAAGAGGACAUAGUACCACCCUCUAAGAAAAAGACAGCUGCUGAAUUUAGAAAACACCUGGAUGAACAGAUGUGGGAGAGAAGGAAACUUGACCAAAUGCAAAGAAAUUUGCAGGAGUUGAGAAAUGAAGUCCAUUCUCUUAAAAAUGAAAAUGCACGUCUGAAAGACAUUAUCAUCAAUCAAAUCCCUCAAAUGAAAAGUGACAUCGCCAUUAUUGCUCAAAAGGUAAGUUCCUCUGAUUUUCAUUGCUUUUUAAAAUUGUUUCUCAAGCAGAACUGGAGAGACUUGUGAUGUUGGGCUGAUUGAUAGUGUUUACACUUUAAUUUAUUUAAGAGAAUAACUAUAUUUUUCUUCUAUGAAGAAGACUGGAAGGACUCCUGUGGAGGAUCUAGAUUCCUCCUUCUCGACUUUUGGAGAAAUGCAACCGGUGAGUAACCCCCUUGCAUUUUUAUUUAUUUAUUUAUUUUACUUGUUACUCAAACAGAGCUAUAUGGAUUUUUAUUAUGUUUGGCUGAUUACUUUUGCAUGUAACUUUAAUUUAUUGGCAUGUUUAAUGUUUUUCAAGCCCCCCCUGUAAAUAAGAAUCUAUAGUGGCUUGCUUGGAUGAAUAGAAAUUGUUGAGUUUGACUAUGUUUCUUUCUUCUCUAAGACUCCAGAGAGGAGACAGAGCCCAGAGGACACCGAGCCCUUUAAAGAGAGUCCCAUGGUGACUGAGCGCUUUCGAGAGACACCACAGG